rnacentral:lncRNA from 1 species
CAUUGUAUGUGGCGAUCUAUUUUUUACAGUCUAUGCUCGCUAUCCCAAGGUUCAUUGCGAUCCCAAGGUUCACUGCGGUUUUCCACAAGCCUGUUUCUGCCUAUCACCAUGAGUGAUUCCUCAAUACUCAGAUUUAUCAUCAAGAUCUCAAUUAUAAGCUCAAGUUUUGAUGACAACUUGGUGAUCUGCAGAAAGCACCACCAUGUAAGGAAGGCCAAGACCACUCUGGAAUCAGUCAAGGGAUUGCAGUGACCAGACAUGCUACUGUAACUCUCAUGGUCAUGUGCUGGAAUUAGCAGAUGUUCAACAAUUUGGCCAUCUCGCUGACCUGUUGAUAUCAGAAGACCCCAACAGCUCUGCAAAGCAAGUUGCAAAACAGAAUCCAUGAAACUGGCAGUGACUGGAAACCAAUUGGAAGACUUUGGUCUGUGAUGUAGAGGAGUGGGCAGAGGCAGAAGCAAAGACAACAAAAAGAAGAAGUGAUGUGGAUGUCUUCGUCAUAUUGCAUGACUCUGCUGACCCAGCAACAAAGAGGAGGGUGUUCAACAUCAUCCUGCUAGUCAGGAUUCUUCAGGAGAAGCAGUGGAUUCUUGUGGCAGAGAUGGUCAACCACUAUAAAUACCUUUCAACUCAUCCUGGUUCUUUCAAAGAACUUUCUUGCUUGUUUGCUACUGAAA